rnacentral:lncRNA from 1 species
CGGGGACACCGACAUUGUCACAUCUGUGUUUUAACAGUACCUCCCGCGUUUAACAUUCUCUUCUCACAUUAUGAGUCCUGGCGACACCGACAUUGUCACAUCUGUUUUUUAACAGUACCUCCCGCGUUUAACAUUCUCUUCUCACAUUAUGAGUCCCGGCGACACCGACAUUGUCACAUCUGUUUUUUUAACAGUACCUCCCGCGUUUAACAUUCUCUUCUCACAUUAUGAGUCCCGGCACACCGACAUUGUCACAUCUGUGUUUUAACAGUACCUCCCGCGUUUAACAUUCUCUUCUCC